UACGUAGGGGGCUAGCGUUGCUCGGAAUUACUGGGCGUAAAGCGCACGUAGGCGGAUCUUUAAGUCAGGGGUGAAAUCCUGGAGCUCAACUCCAGAACUGCCUUUGAUACUGAGGACCUUGAGUUCGGGAGAGGUGAGUGGAACUGCGAGUGUAGAGGUGAAAUUCGUAGAUAUUCGCAAGAACACCAGUGGCGAAGGCGGCUCACUGGCCCGGUACUGACGCUGAGGUGCGAAAGCGUGGGAGCA
rnacentral:rRNA from 1 species